UUACAGCCACAUCACGUUAAAAACAUCAUUUCCCAUAUGAUCACUGAAAUUAAGCAACGUUGAGCCUGGUCAGUACCUAGAUAGGUGACAGCUUGGGAAUACCAAGUGCUGUAA